AUUUCCCUGAAGAGAAGAUUACAUCUUUAUCAACAUCACUUAUUCCUUUGGAAGUACCAUUAGUAAUCUUCGAAACAUAUGUCGGAAAU
rnacentral:hammerhead_ribozyme from 1 species